rnacentral:rRNA from 1 species
UUUGAAGGUGUAAAUAGUCUGGUCUGCUCACUGACAAUAAUUGUUAAAGAGCCGCGGUAUCUUGACCGUGCAAAGGUAGCAUAAUCAUUAGUUUCUUAAUUAGAAGCUUGUAUGAAGGAUCGGACAAAGGAAAGGCUGUCUCUAUUAUAAAAAUUGAAGUUGACUUUUAAGUGAAAAGGCUUAAAUGAUUCUAGGGGACGAUAAGACCCUAUAAAGCUUUAUGUGUUAAUUUAAUUUAACUGAAUUAUAAUUUAUAAAAGUUUAAUUUAAUUGUCAUGUUUUAUUGGGGCGAUAUAGGUAUAAUUUUUAUUAACUACCUAAUAGUUAAUACACUGAUAGGUGGGGAUAAGUAUGUAAUUGAUCCUUAAUAGAGAUUAAAAGACUAAGUUACUUUAGGGAUAACAGCGUAAUUUUUUUUGAGAGUUCAUAUCGAAAAAGAAGUUUGCGACCUCGAUGUUGAAUUAAAAUGUCUAUAUAAUGCAGGUGUUAUAUAAGAAGGUCUGUUCGACCUUU